rnacentral:sRNA from 1 species
GAAGUGGCUGAAAGCAGAGGAUGUUGGGGUAGGAAGUACCUGGGGGUAGGGGAUGUGGGACAGGGAGUGUAUAAAAGUGCGUGACGCUGGGACAGAGAGUGUCUGAGGAAGGAGUGUCACACCAGGAUGGUACAGAACUCUAUGCCUACUGCUCAACGCUUCUAUAAAUUUAAACUGCAUUUCAAACGAAAUGUACUAACUGAAAAUACUUCAGUAGCAAAGGUUUUGCUUUUACCUCCUCUGCUUCCAUUGCCUUCCCUGAGGCCAGCUAACUCCUGAGGUGGUGAUAGCAAGAGACGUCUGUUACAGCAACAAACUGGAAGAGAUACAGAAAAAAAGUCACAGUGAGAGCACGGCUAUCUCUCAGUCACCUCAUACUAGGUCAGAUGCUCUUCCAUCAAGAGUCCUGUGUGAUUCUGCUGAACUCACAGGUCAGUGCCUGGCUCAGCCAUCACCAGAGAAGCUUCCUCCUACAACAGAUGGGAACAAAAACCACAGCAGGACAUUGCACAGGAAGGAGAGACUAGAGUCUACAUGGAAUUACAACAAAUAGGAGUCAAGAAGCCACCUGUGUACCCUCAGGUCCACUGUGAAGUGUUUGGGGUUUACAAUUCUCCAUGUGAACCAAAGGGAGAGAGAGACAAUGAUGUACCAGUACCCGGCUCCUGUGCGGGUUAGUGGGCCAGGUCAGCUCUUUGCCAACAACCUCUUCACUAUGAGUGGACUACUGUCCACUAAGAAGUCACCAACAUUUGAAUCUUACUUGGUGUUUCAGAUGCUAAUGAACAUUCAAACACGAUCACCAAAGAACUUUCCACCCCAAUUGUAACAACUUUGGUUCACAUAGACAGGCUCUGCUUCAUUGUUCUGAAGUUUGCUCCUUCUGAAAAA